rnacentral:rRNA from 1 species
GGAUUGCCUUAGUAACUGCGAGUGAAGCGGCAAGAGCUCAAAUUUGAAAUCUGGCACCUUCGGUGUCCGAGUUGUAAUUUGUAGAAGCAUCUUUUGGAUUGGUCCUUGCAUAUGUUCCUUGGAACAGGACAUCAUAGAGGGUGAGAAUCCCGUUCAUGGUGGGGAAUCCAAUUCUUUGUAAAGUGCUUUCGAAGAGUCGAGUUGUUUGGGAAUGCAGCUCUAAGUGGGUGGUAAAUUCCAUCUAAAGCUAAAUAUUGGCGAGAGACCGAUAGCGAACAAGUACAGUGAUGGAAAGAUGAAAAGAACUCCGAAAGGAGAGUGAAAAAGGACGUGAAAUUGUUGAAAGGGAAGUGCUUGAGAUCAGUCUUAAGGUUUAGUGAUCAGUCUUCCUUUUGGUUGGUGCACUCACUAUUUCUUAGGCCAACAUCAGUUUUCGCGGCAGGAUAAUGACAUUGGAAUGUGGCUCUUUCGGGAGUGUUAUAGCCUUUGUUGAUACUGCCUGCUUAGACUGAGGACCGCGCUUUUGCUAGGAUGUUGGCAUAAUGAUCUUA